rnacentral:rRNA from 1 species
AACGAACGCUGGCGGCAGGCUUAACACAUGCAAGUCGAACGGGCAUAGCUAUAUGUCAGUGGCAGACGGGUGAGUAACGCGUGGGAACGAGCCCUUUAGUUCGGAAUAACCAAGGGAAACUUUGGCUAAUACCGGAUACGCCCGAGAGGGUAAAGAUUUAUCGCUGAAGGGGCGGCCCGCGUCUGAUUAGCUAGUUGGUGAGGUAAUGGCUCACCAAGCCGACGAUCAGUAGCUGGUCUGAGAGGAUGAGCAGCCACACUGGGACUGAGACACGGCCCAGACUCCUACGGGAGGCAGCAGUGGGGAAUAUUGGACAAUGGGGGCAACCCUGAUCCAGCCAUGCCGCGUGAGUGAUGAAGGCCUUAGGGUUGUAAAACUCUUUUAUCCGGGAAGAUAAUGACUGUACCGGAAGAAUAAGCCCCGGCUAACUUCGUGCCAGCCGCCGCAGUAAAAC